UCUUCCUUUGCAAUGGUCCCAACAGUACCUAAUAAUCCCCUAUAUUUAGGUAAACCUAGCCCAUCCCCUUCAACUGCCUUCUUUUGAAGCUGAAGUCUAACUUUAGCAGUAUCCAAUGGUAAAGUACACGCCUCAGCGAAACAAGCAGCAAAGGCGCUACUUGCGAAUAUUCCGGCGAAUGAUAUAUCCGAUUUGCCGCCGUGAUCUCCUCCUCCCAUGACUAAAUUGACCCAAAAAAAACAAAACAAAGAGAAGCUAAAAGG
rnacentral:misc_RNA from 1 species